GUCAUCCUGAACGUUUCAUUUCGGUCAUUCCAGUCUUCUAAAUUCUCGUGUUCGGACGUACUUUCGCGUCCGAUCCGACCCACCUCCCCCUUUCGGCCAAACACUUCUAAAUUUUUUGUUGUAACAGUUCUCUGAACCUACACAACAACUAAACAUGGGUUGCGGACCGUGCGGCUCUUGCUGUGGCCCCUGCUGUGGACCUUGCUGCGCACCCUGCUGCGUGCCUUGCUGCCCAGUCGUGUGCUGCAUGCCGUGCUGCGUGCCGUGCUGCGCACCUUGCUGCGGCCCCUGCUGUGGACCCUGCUGCGGCCCCUGCUGCUGAUCUGUGUGAACUCAACAACCCAAUUUCUGAAGAAAUCAAGAAAUGCAGGGAAAAAUGACUGGGGCUCUGCAACGGAAGCUGUCAUCACUUACAUCCAAACCAUCUGAGCGUAACCACGGCACACACUAGGAACUGUACUAACACCAUAUAACCUACUUAAUUUACAAAAGACUGUCCAUUUUCAAUAACAUGCUGAAACUCAGUAUUCUAAGCAAAUAAAAAUCUUGAAAUGUA